CCUACGGGUGGCAGCAGUGGGGAAUAUUGGGCAAUGGGCGCAAGCCUGACCCAGCAACGCCGCGUGAAGGAAGAAGGCUUUCGGGUUGUAAACUUCUUUUCUGAGGGACGAAGAAAGUGACGGUAACUCAGGAAUAAGCCACGGCUAACUACGUGCCAGCAGCCGCGGUAAUACGUAGGUGGCAAGCGUUACUCGGAUUUAUUGGGUGUAAAGGGCGAGUAGGCGGGACAGCAAGUCAGAUGUGAAAUCUCAGGGCACAACCAUGGAACUGCAUUUGAAACUGUUUUUCUUGAGUGCGGGAGAGGCAAGCGGAAUUCCGGGUGUAGCGGUGAAAUGCGUAGAGAUACGGAGGAACACCAGUGGCGAAGGCGGAUUGCUGGACAGUAACUGACGCUGAGGCGCGAAAGCGUGGGGAGCAAACAGGAUUAGAUACCCUGGUAGUC
rnacentral:rRNA from 1 species